UUUCAAUAAUAUCUUGAAGUAUAUUCUUGCUGAGCGUAUAAUUUGUAUUAAGGUACAUCUCUGUCAAUAGGAUUUAAUGCAUAGAAAUAUAUGUUGAGCCACAUACUCUAAUUAAAUCAGAGUUCUGUAUUUUCUCCUUCUGUUUUGUCCAUCACCUUGGAUUCUGUCCCCUGGUUCUGACCUGUACUUUUUCUGAAUCAGUCAGAGGCAC